AUUGAACGCUGGCGGCAGGCCUAACACAUGCAAGUCGAGCGGAUGAAGGGAGCUUGCUCCUGGUUUCAGCGGCGGACGGGUGAGUAAUGCCUAGGAAUCUGCCUGGUAGUGGGGGAUAACGUCCGGAAACGGGCGCUAAUACCGCAUACGUCCUGAGGGAGCAAGAGGGGGAUCUUCGGACCUCACGCUCUCAGAUGAGCCUAGGCCGGAUUAGAUAGUUGGUGGGGUAAAGGCCUACCAAGGCGGCGAUUCGUAACUGGUCUGAGAGGAUGAUCGGCCACACUGGAACUGAGACAGGGUCCAGGCUCCUACGGGAGGGAGCAGUGGGGAAUAUUAGACAAUGGGCGGAAGCCUGAUACAGCCAGGCCGCGUGUGUGAAGAAGGUCUUCGGAUUGUAAAGCCCUUUAAGUGGGGAGGAAGGGCAGUAAGUUAAUACCUUGCUGUUUUGACGUUACCAACAGAAUAAGCACCGGCUAACUACGUG
rnacentral:rRNA from 1 species